GAUUAAAUGGCUGAAAUUUAGGCAAUAGACUGUAAAUCUAUUUAUGAGAAUUAUUUCUCUUUAAUCA
rnacentral:tRNA from 1 species